rnacentral:misc_RNA from 1 species
GGAAGGAUCAUUAUUGAAUGGGCUAAAAGGCCUUAUUCUUAUCCUACACCUUUGUGAACUUGUUGUUGGUCGCUUUGGUGGGGCCGUCGUUUGCGGCGCUCCUUAGGGAAGAGUCCCCACCAGAGGUUUAUCUGUCAAACGUUUUUACUUUGGUUAGAAAGUGUCUAUGCAAUGAAUAAAACUUUUAGCAACGGAUCUCUUGGCUCUCGCAUCGAUGAAGAACGCAGCGAAAUGCGAUACGUAGUGUGAAUUGCAGAAUCAGUGAAUCAUCGAAUCUUUGAACGCACAUUGCACCCAUCGGUAUUCCGGUGGGUAUGCCUGUUUGAGUGUCAUGAACAACUCACACCAUAUACUUUAUUAUGUGGAGUGGACUUGAGCCUGCGUUGGCUGGCUCGAAAUGGAUGGUGGUGGAAGACCUGCCGGUUUAACGUCAUAUUUAUUUUCGCUAGACUAGGUAGAGUUCGGAGCCCAACUAACUUUACUCGAUCUUGGCCUCAAAUCAGGUAGGAGUACCCGCUGAACUUAAGCAUAUCAAUAAGCGGAGGAAAAGAAAAUAACAAUGAUUCCCCUAGUAACGGCGAGUGAAGCGGGAAAAGCUCAAAUUUGAAAUCUGGCGCUUCUGGCGUCCGAGUUGUAAUUUCAAGAGGCGUUUUCAGUGCCUACCUGGGUAUAAAUCCUUUGGAACAGGGUAUCAUAGAGGGUGAGAAUCCCGUCUUUGACCUGGAGCUAGGUGCUAUGUGAUGCGUCCUCGAAGAGUCGAGUUGUUUGGGAAUGCAGCUCAAAAUGGGUGGUAAAUUCCAUCUAAAGCUAAAUAUUGGCGAGAGACCGAUAGCGAACAAGUACCGUGAGGGAAAGAUGAAAAGAACUUUGAAAAGAGAGUGAAAAAGUACGUGAAAUUGCUAAAAGGGAAACGCUUGAGACCAGUCUUGCCUGCCGGUAAUCAGCCUUGCUUCUGCAUGGUGCACUUGCUGGUUGGCAGGCCAACAUCAGUUUCUCCUGCUGGAUAAUAGCGAAAGGAAUGUAGCUCCUUGUGAGUGUUAUAGCCUUUCGCCUGAUACAGUGGGGGGGACUGAGGGCUGCAGCGCGCCGUAAGGCGGUCUUUUGGGACCUUCGCGCUAAGGAUGUUGGCAUAAUGGUCUUAAACGACCCGUCUUGAAACACGGACCAAGGAGUCUAACAUAUUUGCGAGUGUUUGGGUGGCAAACUCGAGCGCGUAAUGAAAGUGAAUGCAGGUGGGACCCGUAAGGGGCACCAUCGACCGAUCUUGAUCUUCUGGGAUAGAUUUGAGUAGGAGCAAACAUGUUGGGACCCGAAAGAUGGUGAACUAUGCCUGAAUAGGGCGAAGCCAGAGGAAACUCUGGUGGAGGCUCGUAGCGAUUCUGACGUGCAAAUCGAUCGUCAAAUUUGGGUAUAGGGGCGAAAGACUAAUCGAACCAUCUAGUAGCUGGUUCCUGC